ensembl:lncRNA
ACUUGUCUUAACCUGACACUGGUCUUGGGUCAUGAGGGUGGUCUAGCAGGAGGCAGGGUUAGCAGCCAAAACAUAAUCCAUGUUCUUGACUCCCCCGUAGAGAGCCAGCUCCUUGUAAAUGUGGAGGUACUGCAAGAGUCACCUUCAGGCUCCUCCCGGGAAUAGCCAACUGUGGAAAACCACCCUCAGGGACAGGGUAGAGGAAUGCAUAAAAGCCCAGCAGAGCUCUUCCUGGACUAAUUCCUUCCCCCUGCUUGCUGGUUGCCUCAAUCCUGAGGAAGCAUGAUGCUCUCCAAGGUUCUGGUGAUCUCUAUCUUGUGUGCUCUGGGUAUGGCUUUCCCCAGAGUGAACAAAGGCUCAUCCAUUGAAGAACUACUAAAUUUAGCUAUUGAAAGUGAAGAACGACUGAAUUUAAUCAUUGCCAUGCUAAAGUCAACCAAUAAUCUACCCACACCAAUUGAGAAAGAGGUAAAAGAUAAACGACACAAUGACAAACACAAUGAUUCAACUGCUGACUUUAAGCUCUCUCUGGACUUCAUGUCAUUCACAGAAGAGUAUGACAACAGCACACAGAUUUCUGUAUCUACUCUUGAGGCUGAGACAGUCCCCACCAUUUUCCUGGAAGAAACCACUGAGAUCCCAGGUAGGAGCAGUCUAUCUUUAAAAUUGCUGGCAUUCCUCUCCAUGCCCUUUUCUUCUGUCUCACUGCUGAGAGAGGUCCUGUAUUUACUCCAGUUGGGAAAGUUGCUGCUUUGAUCUUUAAGGUGGAGUGAAUUUUACCAAAAGUUCUUUGAAACUCGAGGAAUAUGUAUUCCACUUUCCUGGAAUAUUUUCAACAGAAGACACCUGUUGGUGACAACAAAGCUUGUUGUCAGUCACCUGAUCUAAGGAACAAGCCCUGGGCAGCUCUAGAGGGCUAGCUCCUUGGGUAUCCAUGGGCUUGGAAAUGUGGUUAGGAAGAUAGGAUUAAUCACCCCCUUUUCUAUUGCAGUGGAUACAAUAUAUUACAGACAGACAGUAUCCGGCUCAAAAUUUUGAUAAGUGUAAACGUCCUUUAUAUUUGGACUCAACAAAAGCAAAGGGGAUUCAAGACUUCAUGAGUUAAUCAAUGGAUCUCUUUGGCACUCUCAUUUAUAUGAUCUAUCUAUCUAUCUAUCUAUCUAUCUAUCUAUCUAUCUAUUGACAGGGUCUUUCUAUGUUGCUCCAGCCCUGGAACUUGAUAUGAACACUGGGCUGGCCCUGAACUCACAGUGAUCUGCCAGCCUCUGCCUCCUGGGUUCUGGGAUUAAAGGUGUGAGCCGCUAUACCCUCUGCAUUUUCACAUCUUUCUGUCUAGCACUUAGUGAAGCGCUCAUAAAAUUUCACGUUUUCUUCCUCUAAGACAAAUGUUGGUAGCAUGAGUGAAUGAUACUUAAAGUGAAUGGAAACCAUUUCUGUAUCUCAUUGCAGGCGGGACCCCCACCUUCACUCGAAAUCUUGACUUUGUAAGUCUCUUCUCUUUUAUCCCUGAUGCCUCUCUAGAGAUUUGUUGUCCUAUUUGAUGCUAAUUUUAGUUCCUUCAGAAUGGACUCCACAUUUAACGCCUUCCCCAAAGCUGAGAUAAAUUGCAAGCAUGGACAGAAAUGGUGGCACAAAUCUUUAACCUGAGAACUUUGGGAAUCUGAGGCAGCUGAAUCUCUUAGUUCCAGGCCAGCCUGGUCUACAGAGCAAAACCCCCAUCUCAAAGUAAAUAAAAAUAAAAUAAAAAACAAAAAGGAAAUUAUUCCUUCACGCAGGCCUUUUCUAUUUAAGGAUCUGGGGCCUCGUGUACACUUAUGACAGGACACAAAUUCUUUCUCCCUUGAGUACUCAUAAAUUUCCAUUUGUCUCUCUAGGGUGUGGAACCCAGUCCAACUCACGGACUCUUAGUCAAACCACUGUCUAACACAUAGAUUGCAUUAUUCCAUGAAAAACCCCAAAGCUCUGCUGAAUCAGCAAUUUCUGUUUUAAUAUGCCCUCUCUUCCGGCUUUGAAAAUGUUUUUAAAAAUUAUUAUUUUAUGUGUAUGGGUGUUAUGCUGCAUGUAUGUCUGUUCACCCUGUAUGUGCCUGGUACCCACAGAGGCUAGAAAAAAGGUGCCAGAGCCCCUGGAACUGGAGUUACAGACUCCAAUGAGCUGCCAUUUGGGUGCUUGCAAUUGAGCCUGGGUCCAUUUGAAGAGCAGCCUCUGUGGCUAACUGCUGAGCCGUCUCUCUAGACCCUCUUGGUUCUUUUUGUACUUUUGUUUUUCAAUUCUCUAUUAUUAUUGCUUAUAACAACAGAAUGGCUAGCAGCUAGUGCUUAAAUUUUUCAUGUAAGACACAGGAAGACAAGAGAGGAUAAGGGAUUAUACUUAGAGAAAUAAAAUCCACACCCAAGUUCAAAAUGUCUAAUGACUAAAGAUGGGCCAGAUCUUUGAGGUUCUCUUGGUAACUCGUUUUAUUUAUUUUAAUUUUAAUUUAGACAGCAGAGUAAAGGUUCCAUUUGCUGAGGCAAUCAUUGCAGUCUCCUCAACGUUCUGAGAAGACUCCAACUUUGAAACAAGCCCACUGGUAGCCUUCUGGAUAGUGUGUCAUUGUAGAAAACAAUGGAAGUCUGAGAUGCUCCCAACAAAGAAGGAAGAGUGCGGAAGAAGUGGCUCUGGAUAGGAUUGAUGUGUCAGGCGUUGCCUUUACCUUGUGUAGACUUAAUAAAUAAAUGUUCAUGGGAAUCAUGUUUUGAGAAUAGUUUUUAUUUUAGAGGGAAAGGAUUGCUUAGCUGUUUUGAUAAAUGCACACACAAUAACUUUAUCUCUCUCUCUGGCACACACUGUCCUGACACAUCUCAGGAUCUAGCGAUUGUAGUGUUCCCACUUGGACAAUCCUCACUAUCUAAAAUGAAAUGGCUUGUGGGCUGGUGAGAUGGCUUUAGAGGGUAAAGGCACAUACCCUGGGUCUGACAGCCCAAGUUCAUUCCCUAGAACCCACAUGGUGGAGGGGAGAAAUGACUCCCACAAGUUCUCUUCUGACUUCCUCACCAAUAAAAAUAUAUUUAAUGUCAACUGAUUUACA